rnacentral:rRNA from 1 species
GAGCAACGCGCGUGCAGGAUGAAGGCUUCGGGUCGUAAACUGCUUUAUGUGUGAAGAAUAUGACGGUAACACAUGAAUAAGGAUCGGCUAACUCCGUGCCAGCAGCCGCGGUCAUACGGAGGAUCCAAGCGUUAUCCGGAAUUACUGGGCGUAAAGAGUUGCGUAGGUGGCAGAGUAAGCGAAGUGUGAAAUCUCACGGCUCAACCGUGAGGCUAUGCUUUGAACUGCUCAGCUAGAGAGCGAGAGAGGUAGAUGGAAUUUCUAGUGUAGGAGUGAAAUCCGUAGAUAUUAGAAGGAACACCGAUGGCGUAGGCAGUCUACUGGCUCGUUUCUGACACUAAGGCACGAAAGCGUGGGGAGCAAAUGGGAUUAGAUACCCCAGUAGUCCACGCCGUAAACUAUGCUUGCUAGCUGUUAUGAGUAUCGACCCUCGUAGUAGCGAAGCUAACGCGUUAAGCAAGCCGCCUGGGGAGUACGGUCGCAAGAUUAAAACUCAAAGGAAUUGACGGGGACCCGCACAAGCGGUGGAGCGUGUUGUUUAAUUCGAUGGUAAGCGAAGAACCUUACCAAGGCUUGACAUCCUGGGAAUCACUUCGAAAGAAGAGAGUGCCUUCGGGAAUCCAGUGACAGGUGUUGCAUGGCCGUCUUCAGCUCGUGUCGUGAGAUGUUUGGUUAAGUCCAUUAACGAGCGCAACCCUUAUAGUUAGUUGAAUUUUUCUAGCUAGACUGCCCCGGUAACGGGGAGAAAGGAGGGGAUGAUGUCAGGUCAGUAUUACCCUUAUGCCUUGGGCUACAAACACGCUACAAUGGCCGGUACAAAGGGCAGCCAAGUCGCAAGACGGAGCAAAUCCCAUCAAAGCCGGUCUCAGUUCGGAUUGCAGGCUGAAACUCGCCUGCAUGAAGCUGGAAUCGCUAGUAACGGUGAGUCAGCACAUUACCGUGAAUACGUUCCCGGGUCUUGUACACACCGCCCGUCAAACCACGAAAGUCGCCAAUACCUGACGUGUGAGCUUUGCCUCGCCCUAAGGUAGGGAGAGUAU